rnacentral:rRNA from 1 species
UACGUAGGGUGCGAGCGUUAAUCGGAAUUACUGGGCGUAAAGCGUGCGCAGGCGGUUUUGUAAGCCAGAUGUGAAAUCCCCGGGCUUAACCUGGGAAUGGCAUUUGGGACUGCAAGGCUGGAGUGCGGCAGAGGAGACUGGAAUUCCUGGUGUAGCAGUGAAAUGCGUAGAUAUCAGGAGGAAUACCGAUGGCGAAGGCAGGUCUCUGGGCCGACACUGACGCUCAUGCACGAAAGCGUGGGGAGCAAACAGG